rnacentral:rRNA from 1 species
GCGAAGCCCUGGCAAGCAGCGGCGGUAAUGCGGAGGGUUCAGUCUUUAAGCGGAGUUACUGGGCGGAAAGCGGUGGCAAUCGGCUUAUUAAGUCAGAUGUGAAAUCCCGAGGCGCAACCUAGGAACUGCAGUUGAAACUAAUAAACUAGAGUAUCGUAGAGGGAGGUAGAAGUCCAGGUGUAGCGGUGAAAUGCGUAGAUAUCUGGAGGAAUACCAGUGGCGAAGGCGACCUCCUGGACGAAAACUUACGCUCAAGCACGAAAGCAUGGGGAGCAAACAGGAUUAGAUACCCGAGUAGUC